GUGUUCCUGCGCGUUCCGCCCGGCCGGAACGCCACGGAAUCGGAUCGGAACAAAAUCAUGGAAAAAAAGAGGAUUCAAAAUAGAGUUCGAAGAUUCGGCGACAACGGCGACAACGUUGGCGGUACUUCUCCGUUCGUCGUGAUCGAGGCUGCUGCAUAAUUACCGUUGUUUUCUCGUUGUCUGGAAUGCGACGAAACUCCGUGGAAAAUUUCGAGCGUUGCGACAAGCGCUCACGUGAGGUUAGGGUCGUUCGCGCAACAGUGUUAUUUGAAGGUGCACACAGAUAAAAAUUAGGCAUGUGAUUGCUAUGGCAAGAGUCUCCCACUGAAUACAAGUCUACCAUACAAGAGUCUGUGACAUAAAGUUCAAUGAUGUACAAUGUGUACAAAGUGUGAUAUAUUGCUUAUGCACGAAAUAACGAUUAUUGUAUAACGAAAUAAAAAUUCUUCAAGGUAUA